CCUACGGGAGGCUGCAGUGGGGAAUAUUGGACAAUGGGCGAAAGCCUGAUCCAGCCAUGCCGCGUGUGUGAAGAAGGCCUUCGGGUUGUAAAGCACUUUCAGUGGGGAAGAAAGCCUUGGGGCUAAUACCCUCGAGGAAGGACAUCACCCACAGAAGAAGCACCGGCUAACUCCGUGCCAGCAGCCGCGGUAAUACGGAGGGUGCGAGCGUUAAUCGGAAUUACUGGGCGUAAAGCGCGCGUAGGCGGUCUGAUAAGCCGGUUGUGAAAGCCCCGGGCUCAACCUGGGAACGGCAUCCGGAACUGUCAGGCUAGAGGGCCGGAGAGGAAGGGAGAAAUCCCGGUGUAGCGGUGAAAUGCGUAGAGAUCGGGAGGAAUACCAGUGGCGAAGGCGGCCUUCUGGACUGACACUGACGCUGAGGUGCGAAAGCGUGGGUAGCAAACAGGAUUAGAUACCCCAGUAGUC
rnacentral:rRNA from 1 species